UACGAAGGGGGCGAGCGUUAUUCGGAAUCACUGGGCGUAAAGCGUGCGUAGGCCGCUGUGAAAGUUAGAAGUGAAAGCCCCAGGCUCAACUUGGGAAUUGCUUUUAAAACUCCACAGCUAGAAUUCGGGAGAGGAUAGCGGAAUUGUCAGUGUAGCAGUGAAAUGCGUAGAUAUUGACAGGAACACCAGUGGCGUAAGCGGCUAUCUGGACCGACAUUGACGCUGAGGCACGAAAGCGUGGGGAUCAAACAGG
rnacentral:rRNA from 1 species